CCAAGUCGUGAGGCGGAGCUAAUCCCUUAAAGCCAUUCUCAGUUCGGAUUGUAGGCUGAAACUCGCCUACAUGAAGCUGGAGUUACUAGUAAUCGCAGAUCAGAAUGCUGCGGUGAAUGCGUUCCCGGGUCUUGUACACACCGCCCGUCACACCACGGAAGUUGGGGGCGCCCGAAGCCACUUAGCUAACCCUUUUGGGAAGCGAGUGUCGAAGGUGAAAUCAAUAACUGGGGUGAAGUCGUAACAAGGUAGC
rnacentral:rRNA from 1 species